CACUCUCGCAUGGAAUCUAACCAUGACCAAUGAUAUGAAAAACCAUCGUUGUCAUUCAACUACGAGAAC
rnacentral:tRNA from 1 species